CCUGGUCUUGACAUCCACAGAACCCUGUAGAGAUACGGGGGUGCCUUCGGGAGCUGUGAGACAGGUGCUGCAUGGCUGUCGUCAGCUCGUGUUGUGAAAUGUUGGGUUAAGUCCCGCAACGAGCGCAACCCUUAUCCUUUGUUGCCAGCGGUCCGGCCGGGAACUCAAAGGAGACUGCCAGUGAUAAACUGGAGGAAGGUGGGGAUGACGUCAAGUCAUCAUGGCCCUUACGACCAGGGCUACACACGUGCUACAAUGGCGCAUACAAAGAGAAGCGACCUCGCGAGAGCAAGCGGACCUCAUAAAGUGCGUCGUAGUCCGGACUGGAGUCUGCAACUCGACUCCAUGAAGUCGGAAUCGCUAGUAAUCGUGGAUCAGAAUGCCACGGUGAAUACGUUCCCGGGCCUUGUACACACCGCCCGUCACACCAUGGGAGUGGGUUGCAAAAGAAGUAGGUAGCUUAACCUUCGGGAGGGCGCUUACCACUUUGUGAUUCAUGACUGGGGUGAAGUCGUAACAAGGUAACCGUAGGGGAACCUGCGGUUGGAUCACCUCCUUACCUGAAAGAA
rnacentral:rRNA from 1 species